GUACAGCUGCUGCACACUCAGGAUCUGAAAAACCAAAGCAUAGUGAUAAAAAAGAGAGACCUGUCACACCAAUGAACUUGAUUUCCCAGUACAAUGAAGGGAAAACAUUGGGCAGAUCCCCAAUUAAAAUAAAGACUUGUCACGGGGAGCAACCGUGAACAGCUACAUUUAGAAGGCAGAAAUAGUUAGCCAUUUUGGCAACCAUUUCAACUGCCAAUGCAAAGAACAAACACACAGAACCUUAUUACAGCCCAGCCCCUUGCACAAAUCAAAUUCCCUGAUCCUGCUACACUAAGAUGUGCACACAAUAUGAGGAGAUACUGAGAUAGACACACGCAUGCUUGUGUGCAAACAAAGAAUAGAAAGAUGGGGGGUGGGGGGCGCGGGAG
rnacentral:misc_RNA from 1 species